AGUCAAUAUUCAUUAUUUAUGUUCAUUCAUUAUAAAUUAACAUAAGUACAUAUAAUUGUCUAACACUUUAGAAGCCAUUGUCUAACAAGAAAAACAAAGAUAAUAAUGUAGGUACGUAAUCUUAAUAUUCCCAGUCUUCAUGAAUUGAUGGAGUAGUUGAGUAUAGACUAGUAUAGAGAGAUAAAUAUAUUACGAAUAGUUUUUACAAAAUAUGAGUUUAGAAAUCCUUUAAAAUACGAAAUAAUUAGCCAACUACGAUAUUUAUAGAUUGAUAAAUAACAAAACAUAUGAUCAAUUGUUUACUUGCGAAAGUAGAGUACACAAAGGUGUGCAUUUGAUGACAUAGUGGUUUUCUGCUAGGUCGCCAAACUCUGGGAAACAUACCAAAGAAACAAAUUAAAGAUUAAGGCCAUGGAAAUGAAUUAUUGUAGACGAUGUUCCGGCUCACUAGACUUGAUAGGGUGAGAAGCGAAGAUAUUACAAAAAAAAAA
rnacentral:lncRNA from 1 species